rnacentral:lncRNA from 1 species
UCCAAUCAUUAUCUGAUGCAAUAGAAUAAUUUUUAAGGAAUAUUAGUUGUUAUUUUCUUUCGGUUGAUAAUGGACAGGUGUCCUCUGGAUCCUCAAUUCUAGGAAUUUGUUAGACUCAUCAGUACUAUUUAUAUGGUUGUAUUGGUGAUAUUGAGUUUAAGAAAUAUAUCAGUCAAAUUUUCUCUCUUCUAGACUUUCCCUGAAAGGGGAAUUUAAUUUCUGCACAUUCAUUCUUAUCAGAAGCUAUACAUGUUGAUUGAGAUGGCAGCGCAAGGUGCACAAGGUGGAUCUGCCGAAGCUAUCUAUUCUGGCAAAGAAAAGAUUAUUAUAUCUCAUUUCUACGAUUACCUUGGGGAUGUUGUCAGAUCAGUAUAAUUUCUUGCCUAGUCAAGUGCUUUCGCAAUACAGUGCAUUGUAACAUCAUUGUGUUUUUAUUGAAUAUCAUUUUUGUAUAUUUAAAGCUCCUAAGUUGCAUAAUACUUCUGUUCAGUUUUGCGGAGGCCUUAUGCUGAUAGUAAUUUUGAGAUCAGGUUUUAUCUGUUAGGGCUAUAGCUUAGUUUGAAUUGAGCUGUACCAAACUGGCAUAAGCAUAAACUUCUGUCUCGGUGAUUCAAUAUUAUCAAACAUCUUAUUGUGUUAUCUUACAAUGAUAUAUUUGUGUAAAUGUGAAAAUUAACAAUGCACAGGAACAGUUUAAACGUUUUAGUAUCAGGCUAUCUAAUUACAACAUUCACAU